UACGUAGGGUGCGAGCGUUGUCCGGAAUUAUUGGGCGUAAAGCGCGCGCAGGCGGUCAUUUAAGUUUGGUGUUUAAUUCCAGGGCUCAACCCUGGGUCGCACUGAAAACUGGGUGACUUGAGUACAGAAGAGGAGAGUGGAAUUCCACGUGUAGCGGUGAAAUGCGUAGAUAUGUGGAGGAACACCAGUGGCGAAGGCGACUCUCUGGGCUGUAACUGACGCUGAGGCGCGAAAGCGUGGGUAGCAAACAGG
rnacentral:rRNA from 1 species